GAGAUGCAAUUGAAAGCGUAUGAUUAUUUUGGUCAUGGGACUUUAUCAUCCUAUCACCAGGUUGACGUUAUUGCUUUGACUAAGCUAACUUGUUUGGUGUUGCCACAAGGGCAUAGUUCAUUGCUGCAACCGAAAUCGAUAUGGAAGGCAGAAGAAAAUCACGAGACCUCACUGAUUGAACAUGUACUGCAUUUGGAGCCAAUUGAAGUAAACAUAUUUCGUGGACUCACAUUGCCUGAUGCUCCAAGGUUUGCACAGGUUUUUGGAGGACAACUGGU